GAGAGAGGCUGGCAGCAAUGGAGACUGCUAAUCCCCACGACCAUGGUUAAACUCCAAGGCUCACUCG
rnacentral:tRNA from 1 species